UUUGUUGGUGAGGUAGUGGCUCACCAAGGCGAUGACGGGUAGCCGGCCUGAGAGGGCGACCGGCCACACUGGGACUGAGACACGGCCCAGACUCCUACGGGAGGCAGCAGUGGGGAAUAUUGCACAAUGGGCGAAAGCCUGAUGCAGCGACGCCGCGUGGGGGAUGACGGCCUUCGGGUUGUAAACCUCUUUCAGCAAGGAAGAAGCGAAAGUGACGGUACUUGCAGAAGAAGCGCCGGCUAACUACGUGCCAGCAGCCGCGGUAAUACGUAGGGCGCAAGCGUUGUCCGGAAUUAUUGGGCGUAAAGAGCUUGUAGGUGGCUUGUCGCGUCUGCCGUGAAAACCCGAGGCUUAACCUUGGGCGUGCGGUGGGUACGGGCAGGCUAGAGUGCGGUAGGGGAGACUGGAAUUCCUGGUGUAGCGGUGAAAUGCGCAGAUAUCAGGAGGAACACCGAUGGCGAAGGCAGGUCUCUGGGCCGUUACUGACACUGAGAAGCGAAAGC
rnacentral:rRNA from 1 species